AAGUUAAGAAGUUUUACAAAGCAGAAGGGUUCUCCGACUUACGAUGGGUGAAUUGUGUGCCAUAAAAGCUUGGGUGCGAGUGUCAACGAGGAAAAUUUCGAUCAAAGUACAGAGGACGAUAAUGUUAUUAUCAGCUGAUUGUACUUGUAGAGGAGGAGUUUUGUCAGUGUCCGAUGGGUACCAGCAUCAUAUACUGUGGCUGCAUCACUUUUGUUUGGCAGAAGUACAAGAGAACAUGGUUGAGGAACACAGCUAAAAGAUGCAGUUGCUUAAAGCAGUGUCUAAGACGUUGAUCAACAUUCUUCAAAAUGCAAAUCAAAUACAGGUUAUUGUCUGCACAUCUUGCAUUGGAUGUUUUGAUCGAGAACUUAUCGAGCAUGAAGACCCGCCAUGUACCUAUCCUGUCAUGACAUUAUUAAAGUACUCUGUGACAGUGGGAAGAUGUUAUUUAAAACAUGACAUGGCUCUAUAUUACUGCAUCAGAUAUCGAUAUGAUGGAAAACAGUCAAGCAUCAUUUGGAAUUGGAGCUACGUAAAUCUCAGCCUUCACAAUAAGCCUGCUUACAUAACCAAGAAAGCACAGUGACCAGUUGUACCUAUGAUGUCGGAUGAGAUCCUGAGAAUACUUUCAGUGCACUCUUCGCUACCUGCAAAGAAAUGAAAAUUUUAAAUGACUUGUAUCAAUCCUUUUGUAUUUCACCUAGCUUGUACUUUUAGUACUCAUUAUCCUUUAAUUCAAACAAAAUUUCAUCAGUAUCAACUUGUAUAUGAAAAAUGUUGAAACAGUUUGUUUGUCCCAAAGGAAAUUCUCCUACAAUUUAUAAUGAAUUAUCAGUGUAGUGAGCGGUUGAUUGGUGUCUGUUCCAUCAGCAAAGUACCAGGUAUUUGUAGCAGAAUGGUGCAAACUGCAAAAUGAAACACUUUUCAAGAGAACCUGGAAAAACAUCAGGUGUAAGUGAUCAACUACAUGUGUACAAGAAAAAAGUGAAUACUUUCUUGAAUUUUAGCAUUAACAAUGAUGCAGUAAAACUUGGUUAUAGAAAAGUCACUGAGGCUUAUGAAAUUACUUUGCUAAAUUCAUAAUUUGUUAUAACCUUUAAAAGA